rnacentral:rRNA from 1 species
GCGACGGGUGAGUAACCGUGGGCAAUCUGCCCUUCACUCUGGGACAAGCCCUGGAAACGGGGUCUAAUACCGGAUAACACUCUGUCCCGCAUGGGACGGGGUUAAAAGCUCCGGCGGUGAAGGAUGAGCCCGCGGCCUAUCAGCUUGUUGGUGGGGUAAUGGCCUACCAAGGCGACGACGGGUAGCCGGCCUGAGAGGGCGACCGGCCACACUGGGACUGAGACACGGCCCAGACUCCUACGGGAGGCAGCAGUGGGGAAUAUUGCACAAUGGGCGAAAGCCUGAUGCAGCGACGCCGCGUGAGGGAUGACGGCCUUCGGGUUGUAAACCUCUUUCAGCAGGGAAGAAGCGAAAGUGACGGUACCUGCAGAAGAAGCGCCGGCUAACUACGUGCCAGCAGCC